AAUUCCCAGAAACUGAGGCCCAGAGCACCCUGACAGUUACCCACUUCUCCUCUGCACAAUACCCCGGCUGCUACAUGAAGCCUACAGGGGCUGGCUCUGCAUGCUGUCCCUACCCCAACCAUAUCUUUGAAAACAUGCAGGAAGAGGGUGUAUCCAACUCUAUCAGGUCUGGCUGGAGGCCAGGGCUGAUGGGUUCCAGAAGGAGAGCCCCCAGCCAGGGUGUUGGUGCCAGUUGGUGCUGGCUGGUAUGGGCACUCUGCCAUCACACUCUCGGGGACAGCAGGCUGCCUGGCUGCUCACUGCUGUCUAUCCUC
rnacentral:lncRNA from 1 species